CGGGUCGCAAUUGAUAUUCUCUAGACUUUCGUCGUUAAUUAAUAGUGUGAAUUGCCUAUUUCCGCAUUAUUAUCGUGUCCCGCCUGAACCUCUUGGUUUACUCGAGAACUGUCGUGUGUGUUUCGUUGCUAAAAUCGAAAUUUAGCCCGUGGAAACUGACCAUUCUUUCGGAACUUGACUCGUACUCGUGGGUCCUCAGCCUGUUUUUGAGAGUGUAAUUGAUAUUCCAUUGACUUUUGUCGUUCAAUUAAAAGUGUGAAUCGCUGAUUCACUAGUGCGGUUUUCGGUUUCGGGUGAACUUGGUCGAGCGAAUUGUUUGGUGAACUCGUGUCGCGGUAUUCGACAUUAUUGUCAAAGUGUGUGCUAGCGAUUUCUAUUCCGAAGUGAUCAAAAUUCCGGUAUCAGUUGGCGUGAUUCGCGGCUCUUUUUCAAUUCUCUGAAGAUUGAUUCGAUCGAGUGUUUCCAUCUUUUAUUGCUGGAAGGGUGUCUGAAACUUUCCCUCACUGCUGUCGUUGGUUCUGGAUCAAGUGUAAAGUGCGGUUUCAGUGAUGAAGUUGUGGGUGCUUUCAGCUUGGCGUCGGGCAAUCGGAUAACCCUCUUCUGAAUGGCGUCGUGUGUGCUGUAAGCUGCUAAUCG